GGUAGCCGUAGGGGAACCUGCGGCUGGAUCACCUCCUUUCUAAGGAAGCUGUGGAACUGGUAAGACGAUCUUCCGACAAGUCUUUGACUUGUCUCGAGAUAUGAACCUUCCCGUGCUUUUUAGAACAUAGAUGGCACCAGUCAGGUGACCAUCGCAACGUAAUACGCCGCGUAGACUUCGGUCACGACGGUAUGGCGAGCUUUCGCCGUCCACGUUUCUCUUUCUUCAAGAAGACAAAAACCGCGUCGACCAGUCUAGGCUGGGCCGGUUCCCCGAAUGGGCCCGUAGCUCAGUUGGUUAGAGCACACGCUUGAUAAGCGUGGGGUCGGAAGUUCAAGUCUUCCCGGGCCCACCAUUUGCACCAGCAAAUGAGGGUUAGGGAUGAUGGAAUGUGGCUGAUGCGGAAGGUUGCCGAACCUGGAGCAAUCCAGGCGAUCGAGCUGAUGGGGCUGUAGCUCAGCUGGGAGAGCACCUGCUUUGCAAGCAGGGGGUCAGCGGUUCGAUCCCGCUCAGCUCCACCAAAUCGAUUGGUGUUGAAGCUGACGGCAUUUGUCUUUUGAAGAAAAUAAGGUUUUGCAUCGGCUUAGGCUGAUGCGUGUUCUGCAUACAUUGUGAAGAGAAGAUUGAUCUGGAGGCUUCCAGGUGUUUUGGGUUUUGCCCAAAGCGUCCGAGCCCAGUUCUUGUGAAACCAUGGAUGGCCUAGCCGGCCGGAUAUGGUGGAGGAAUUGGAGGUAGGAAGGAAGCUUGUCGCUCUGGGUCGUUGAUGAUCGGUCAUCUUUAGGGAUGAGCAUCUGACGGACGGCUUGAUUACCGUUGCAUGACCGCGCGGUAUCGGAUCCAAUCUCGAGAAGCUGGUCUUAAGACCUGACACAAGCGAGCUGCUCGGCGUAGCUCCAAUAAAGUGAUCAGGUCGAACACGUCGAUGGCAUUGUUGGAUUGACUGGGUUGUAAAAGGUAACCCGGUCUGUUGCCGUUUCUUAUGGAGCGAGCAACGAGAUGAUGAGCAUUG
rnacentral:tRNA from 1 species